UCGGGAAUUUUGGGCAAUGGGGGAAACCCUGAUCCAGCGACGCCGCGUGUGUGAAGAAGGCCUGCGGGUUGUAAAGCACUUUCGGUGGGAACGAAAUGUGCCGGGCUAAUACCCCGGUAAGCUGACGUUACUCAAUGAAGAAGCACCGGCUAACUCUGUGCCAGCAGCCGCGGUAAUACAGAGGGUGCGAGCGUUAAUCGGAAUUACUGGGCGUAAAGCGCACGUAGGUGGCGACGUAAGUCGGGUGUGAAAGCCCCGGGCUCAACCUGGGAAUUGCAUUCGAGACUGCAUUGCUGGAGUACGGAAGAGGAGGGCGGAAUUCCCGGUGUAGCGGUGAAAUGCGUAGAUAUCGGGAGGAACAUCUGUGGCGAAGGCGGCCACCUGGUUGGAUACUGACGCUGAGACGCGAAAGCGUGGGGAGCAAACAGGAUUAGAUACCCUCGUAGUCCCUGAGCGGGCUGGCAAGGCGCAU
rnacentral:rRNA from 1 species